CAUAAGUGAAUUAAGGGUGUAUGGGGGAUGCCUAGGCUCUUGAAGGCGAUGAAGGACGUGUUAAGCUGCGAUAAGCUACGGGGAUUUGCACAAAAGAAUUGAUCCGUAGAUUUCCGAAUGGGGCAACCCAAUGGUUUGAAGAACCAUUACCACGAAGUGGGGCAAACCCGGAGAACUGAAACAUCUAAGUACCCGGAGGAAGAGAAAACAAAAGUGAUUCCGUAAGUAGUGGCGAGCGAACGCGGACUAGCCCAAACCGUUGUUGUUACGGCAAUGACGGGGUUGUAGGACGUUUUUUUAGAAAGGAUUUUAAUUUGAAUGAGUUGGGAAGCUCAGCCGUAGAAGGUGAUAGCCCUGUAAGAGUAAGGAAUCUGGACGUAAGCGUAUCCUGAGUAGGGGGGAGCUGGUGAAACUCCCUUUGAAUCAGCCGGCACCAUCCGGUAAGGCUAAAUACUAACAAGAGACCGAUAGUGAACGAGUACUGUGAAGGAAAGGUGAAAAGUA
rnacentral:rRNA from 1 species